CGCUGCCAGCUCUGGCGCGGCGAGGCCGGCUCACCAGUUGGUCAUGUCCAGGAAGAAGGCGCAGCCGGCCGGGUUGAGCUGGAAGCCGAGCAGCCUCUGGAACUCGGAGAUGAGCACGUCCUUGUCGGUGGUGCCCAGGCAGCUGAACUUCUGCAUCAGCUCCGGGUCCAGGUCCACGUCCAUUCCCUCCAUGGCGGGGGCCGAACACCCACUUCCCCGCCUCCUCACAACUGAGCCGCCGCCGCGUCGCCGGGCCCGGGGACCUGGAGGGGGCCCGCUGCUAGCCGGCGCCGCGACCCCGCUCCUUUGAGGUGAGGAAACAAGUCCAGGGAGGGCGGAGACCAUGGCAAGGUCAAGUUGUAAAGUGCACGCAGGACCUAGCUCUCAGCCAGAGAGGGGUCUGCGCCUCAUGCAGGAAAGACUUGUUUGCAGAUCCGCUUUCUCAGAGGGAUGCUGCAGUCCUUGGUUCUCGGCCACCCUUCGUGAUGAUUACUACAGUUUAUCGAUGCUGUUUCUGUUAUGCAACGGUAGUAUCGUGUCUUCGGAGAAUAAAGGAGGCCUUGAUACAAACAUCAAUCAUAGGUCCUGAUGAACACCACAUGUACUCUUCCACCCUUUCCGUCAGGUCCAACUCUGUCAAAAUAAAGGUUAGUUGUGAGAA